UUUCCCUGGUAACUGAUGAGCCAAGCUGACGCCAUUUCCCCCUAUAAAUGGAAGCCUCAUGGGCCCUGCGGUUGUGCUGGUUGUUGCUGCGUCCUGUUUAUUCUCUUCAGGACAUGGUGGGGUGUCGCUCCAGGACCUUGCUUCAGCAUCAGCCUAGAGAAUGAGAGCAGCAAACAGCCUUUGGAAUUUGGGCAAGUUCUUUUACCUGGGACUCAUCAUCUGUGUCAUGUGAAAAAGACAAUGAUGCUUGGGCUGCGUUUCCCAGAAGGAGCCCGGGUCAGAUUCUGCCACUGACACCUUGCACAAGGUCCAGAAGCUCUAAAAGGAGGGGAUGCCCUGUUUCCCAGACACUGGAGAGGUAUACCAUGAUCCUCAGAAGAAAGCCUGCUUUUGAAAGAAGAAAUGUUUUCGCAUCCUUACCUCAAAACUAACAACGAUUACGCAUCAUCUUCCAGUUACGAAGUUUCCUGGUUUUUUUGUGUUGUUUUUUUUUUGUUUUUAAAGCUAUCACUCAUUUAAGUACCUCACAGUAAGCCGUUAUGGCUUAUCAUGGUAUUAUGGUUUAUCAUUGGUAUUUAAUAGGGUCCCCUGGGCUGUGCAGGAGGACUCUUGUUUAUCUGUCCCAUAUAUACCACUUUGCUUCUGCUAAUCCCAACCUCCCAAUCCAUCUCUCCCCGCAUCCUCCUUCCCCUUGGCAAACACACGUCUGUUUUCUGUGUGACUCUAUUUCUUAGGUAAGUUCAUGUGUUGUGUUUUAGAUUCCACCUAUAAACGAUAACAGGA